rnacentral:lncRNA from 1 species
UAAAUUAGCCCCUCGUGCUCUCCAAUGUGUCUUCCUUAGUUACUCUCGAGUUUAAAAAGGGUAUCGAUGCUAUUCACCUGAUCUGGGUCGCUACUUUAUGUCUGCUGAUGUCAUAUUCUUUGAAUCUCAACCUUACUAUACAUAUUCUGAUCAUCUUAAUGAGGUUUUACCCAUACCUCCAGUUCUGUCAUAUUCUUUGAAUCUCAACCUUACUAUACAUAUUCUGAUCCUCUUAAUGAGGUUUUAUCCAUACCUCCAGUUCUACCCACACCAAUCUUUGAGGAAUCUACGGUUACUUCUCCAUCUCCAGCUACAACGCCACCACUUUUGACUUAUCACCGCCUCCCAUGUCCAGCAUCAGUCCCAGAUGAUUCAUGUCAUGUGCCUGGCGCUUCCCCUACUGCGGACCUGCCUCCUUCUAGCCAAUCAGUUGCACUUCAAAAAGAUAUAAGAUCCACUCGUAAUACUAACUCACAUUAUACUUUCUUGAGUUAUCAUCGUUUGUCA